UACCUUUGCCUUCGCUGCGGUUUCCCGGUCCCUUUGCGGUCGCCGGGAAUUAAAAGGGAAUACCGUGAGAAUCGGUAACAAUUCCCGUUGCUGUGUGCCCGGCUUUCUUGAUUGAAAGUUUUUUUCCGGCAUUCUUGGCCACUGGUCCUCCGCGGACCGGGAAGGCGCCGGAGAGAAGGGCGAGUCAGAAAACCUGCCGUCGCGAUUAUACGGAUU
rnacentral:ncRNA from 18 species